GGGAUGGCCCCGAGAGCACUGACAAUGUGUAUGGUAUGGUCUCUGCCCAGGCCAGCAGCAAGGGAAUGGAGGAGGACUUCCCUCUCUGCACAAGGCAAAUUUUCACUUGGAGAGAAUGAAGUCAGCACAACAGAGAGAAGCAAAGCCUGGAGGCAGAAAAAACUGUUGAUGAGACUUGAAGCUGAUCCAGCUACACCUAAAGCCAGAUGCCCUGAACUUCUAAGUUACAAGAGCCAGCUGCAGAGAAGAAGACAUGUUUGAGCUAAGACCCUAAAAAAGGAACCAGUCAAGAAAUAAAGAAGAGGAUGGGAAGAAGAGAUUCUAGGCAGAGAAGUGAAUCUGGAGAAGAGACACCUGGCGUAUUUAGAGAGCCAAUGGCUCCUUCAUCUCCAAAGGAAUCUUGGGAACUUGCUGCCAUACAAGAUGGUGAUCAGUUGGACUGCUGGAAUGCACAGGUUGAUUCCCUAAGAUUAUCUU